CCAAUAGCGUAUAUUAAAGUUGUUGCAGUUAAAAAGCUCGUAGUUGAAUUUCGGGGUUCAUACGUUGGUCGGGCUUUUUGGUCUGUACUAGCGUAAUGGAUUCCUACCUUCUGAAUAACCGGCAUGCCAUUAAUUUGGUGCGCCGGGGAAGCAGGACUGUUACCUUGAAAAAAUUAGAGUGCUUACAGCAGGCUAUCGCCUGAAUACAUUAGCAUGGAAUAAUGAAAUAGGACGGCAUGGUUCUAUUUUGUUGGUUUCUAGGAUCACCGUAAUGAUUAAUAGGGAUAGUUGGGGGCAUUAGUAUUCAAUUGUCAGAGGUGAAAUUCUUGGAUUUAUUGAAGACUAACUUCUGCGAAAGCAUUUGCCAAGGAUGUUUUCAUUAAUCAAGAACGAAAGUUAGGGGAUCGAAGACGAUCAGAUACCGUCGUAGUCUUAACCAUAAACUAUGCCGACUAGGGAUCGGACGAUGUUAAUUUUUUAAUGACUCGUUCGGCGCCUUACG
rnacentral:rRNA from 1 species